rnacentral:lncRNA from 1 species
CCGUGAAAUUGGGGUCAAAAAGUUUAAUUUGGCUUUAAAAUUAGAAAGAUCAUAUCAUAAGGAACAUGUGUACUAAGUUUCAAGUUGAUUGGACUUCAACUUCAUCAAAAACUACCUUGACCAAAAACUUUAACCUGAAAAACUUUAACCUGAAACAUGCACUAUCAUUUUCUAUGUUCAGUGGACCGUGAAAUUGGGGUCAAAAGUUUAAUUUGGCUUUAAAAUUAGAAAGAUCAUAUCAUAAGGAACAUGUGUACUAAGUUUCAAGUUGAUUGGACUUCAACUUCAUCAAAAACUACCUUGACCAAAAACUUUAACCUGAAGCGGGACAGACGGACGAACGGACGAACGAACAGACGGACGAACGGACGCACAGACCAGAAAACAUAAUGCCCCUACUACUAUCGUAGACGGGGCAUAAAAAAAC